ensembl:antisense
GGGAGCGCGCAGAGUCCCGCUGAAAAAUGGCUGCUGCAUCGGGGUGCAAUGCGCCCGCGAGCAGGCUGUAGGGCCCUUGCCACCCCGUCCCCGCUGCUCCCUUACCAUGAGGCCGAUGAGUCGCCGAAGCCUGGACUGGACUUACUCCCUGUUGCUCCUUGCAAUCGUCUUGCUCUCUUGGGGAUUCGUCAUCUAUGCAUCGACUGUAGCUGCACGACGACAACUACAGAAGGAGUUUCCAGACAAGUUCUUCUGAACGAACUUUUGUAAUUCUUAGCAAACACUUCUUUUCUUCAGAUGGCACCUAUGUAGUCCUGGAACUCACUUUGUAGACCAGGCUGACCUUGAACUCAGAAAUCCGCCUGCCUCUGCCUCCCGAGUGCUGGGAGUAAAGGCGUGCGCCCCCACGCCCGGCUCUAUUUUGUAUCAGGUCAUAGCUUUUCAUUCUAGUGCUCAAACACUUCACAUCCUCAUGUCAAAUCAGUAUGUAAACAACACUGUGACUAAAAUGUGUUUUGCAUCCUGUUUAUCAAAAUGGACAGAAAAAAGUAGCUAAUAGCUCUGUUUAGUAUUUGUCUUUUUACUGUUAGUCUCAAAUCAUAGAACCUUUGGACAGUAACACGGACAGUGAUAACACUCUGAGAAUAAGCUUUAUUAAUUACUUUUCCAGGAAACAGAUUCAGUAAAUACAGCACUUUAGGAACAUACUUGUGCUGUUACACAAGUCUGUUAAGUUUUUAAGGACUCUUCAAUGAUGUUGAUCAGGAAAAUCUCUCAUUGGUGGAAUUACUUCUCCAGUCUCCAGAAUUGUAUCACCCUAGGGAAAACAGGAAGUGUUUAAUAGAGAUUUUUCACCAAAUAUACAUUUCAUUGUAAAUAUUCCAACAUUUGCUCAACACAAUAAAUGACU